AUGUUAAUGAUAAGAAAUGGUUAUAGCUUGUAUCCAGUGUCUUUACCCGAAGGAUUGCGACCUACAGCGUUUUCUCAAAUUGAAUUGUUGAAUCUUCAUGAGGGAAAUAUUGGAUUUCACAAUUUUAUCAAUGUAAUUGGUUCUGCAAAUGAUGAAUGUUUCAGGCGGCCUGGUUUUAGUUUUCCAGAACAACACAUCAUCUCAAAUCAAACUGUCUUGGAAAAUCUAGAUAAUUUUGAGGCCUCAUGA